UAAGAUUGAAAUAUCACAGCUUACCCUCAAAAAGGAGUGGCAUGCAGCUGUAUCCUUUGGAGAGCUGCUAUUCCUUUUCUUGUUUUCUUUACUGCUCCAGGCAUACAAAGAUUUUAAUACUUCUCCUUUAUCUAGCACAGUUAAUUUCCCCGCCCUAUACCAGCUGAACUUCUCCAGCAGGUAUGUUUGGGGGAUUGUGGACCCAAGCUUUCAUCUGCUCCCAAGUCUUCUGCGAACAAAAUUGAGCAUUUGUGAUCCCACAGAACUGUCUCCUGGUCCAGCUGCUGCUCCGGUAGGCAGGGGAGAGGCGACGCAGUGUCCAUACGCUCACAUCUACAAGUGCAGCUCCGUUGGGUGGUGACCUAGUGGUUCCCCCAGCACAGGCCAGCUUACACUGGUGGCCAUCCAAGGAGGAGACUCCUGAACACGUGCAGAUGGAUUGCACGGUGAAUAAGAAUUUGGGAAACACUGUUUUUUGCACUUAGUAAAUCAUACAGGAGCAACCUGAUUUACGAGAGCUUUGCUGCCUUCAGGUCUGUGCUCCCAAUAAAUCACAGCUCUGCCCAGUGUCAAAAUUCAGAGACUAUCAACUGUCUGACAUGCACAGUUAAAUCCUGAUUGAACAAAACAUAUGCUUGGAAAUGAGAGGCCAGCUUUGAAGUCUGACCUAUGAAUUCUUUGAAUCAAAAGGAGAUUAUGGCAUAUUGUGCUCUUAACACAAUUGCUGAGCAAUUACAGUAGUAAGUUAGUAAUAAGCUUUCUAUGUGCUAUCUUUUAAGGUGAAGAGGAGGGAUUAGGUUCAGGUAUAUAGAAAGAGACAGCAAAUCUAAAAUCCAUGUAGACCAGAAAAUCUAACCUCUAUUAUCCUUUGUAUCUAGUCUAGCUCUUUGCAAUAGUUUUUGACUUCAGAAAUUGAUUGUGAGGAUAUCUAUAUCCCCUAGAUAUUUUUAUUACUAGAAUAAAGUCUACCUGAAACUACUGCUUGGAUCCAUAGAUAAGUGGUGCAGUGGCCUUCCAUUAUUAUUGGUUUUUUUUCGAUACUUAUGUCUUAUUCCACUGUAAUUGUUAGGAUUCUUCUCCUUUUAGUUUCUUUUCCCUGAAACACUGUGGUCAGAUUUCCCAGAUCUUGCAUUCUUUGUUGACCAGAAAUUUCUAAAGGCUGAAAUAGAAACAAAGGAAAAUGCUAGGCAAGGGGCUUUGUGACCAUAAGCCAUAAAAGCACUUCAUCAGACAGAAAGUCUCACUUCCUAUUUCAGUCUCCAUUUUUCGGGCACGUAUUCCAGGUCAGAACCUUUGGCGCAUAUAGGAUAAUAACUAGGAUAAUAAUAAGAUAAACAUUUGCCUUUUUUUUUUGCCAGUGUACUGUGAAAAGAUUGAGGGAAACAGUUAUGUUUCUAUACAUAUAUGGUUCAAAUCUAAAUGAUUAAACUGUUUUUUAGCUGAGGGAAAAUAGUGUAGUUUAGUAACUUUGCUUGUUGCAUAGAGAGAAACAGUUAUGCUUCUCAACAGACUGAAACAGUCUCACUAUUAAAUAGAUUUCUGAUGAUUUCAAGCUACUUUUUCAUGUUUCCAUUUUCACACAUUUUUUUCCUCUCUCAUAGUCACUUUAUCCUCUCUUUAACAAAUUCCUGCUUGAGAAAAAUAGAAUGGAAGAAAAGUAACCAAAAUCACCCUAAGUAAGAAUUGCACAUGGUAUUUUCAGUGACAUCUUAGAGCUACAUCAUUGCCAUCAGACACAUGAUGGACAGCAGGGAAUGCAAAACCCUGCUCCUCAGUGGGGAGAAAGCAGUGCUUACCAAGCAUGGCUGGUCCUCUUUUAGCAUCUUUUAGUGGUUGCUCUAUAGCCUAAUCCACUGCUCUUUGCAAUGGAAAGGCAGCAGGCUGGCAGCAAGCUUUGGGCAUUCUGCUUCUUUGUUAUUCCGCACCACUGUGUUGGAUCUGCCAUCUGAUCUUCCUUUUAGUAGCACGCGUGAGAGGCCAGUAACACCAUUGACAAUGUCCUAGGUAAAGCUAAACGUGUCCUGUUCUCAGAUGGUUGCAAAAUUCCCAAGUUGAACCUCCACUGUAAUUGAGCUGAGAUACUCAUUUAUUGUAAAAUUACUUUCAUGUAUGCUAACUUAAUGAGCUAGGUAUUGCCAGUGCUAUAAAUAGGUCUGAAUGUAGAUAAGGCCUGUGGAAUGAACAAAAUGGCUCAUUCCCACAAAAACGUCAUCUGUUGUCAAAAAUAUCUGAUAUGUAACAUCUCUCUAGCUCUCUUUCUUGUGGAGUAAGAGCAGACCUGCUUAACGUGCUCCUGAGGUAGGGGCUCUAGUGAGGGAUUGCAAUGUCUUGUGUAGAGAGGAUGCGGAUGUAAGACUUCUGAAAACAGGUACAAAGUUGCAUUGAUUUUAAAAUAUUAAGGUAAAUACGUGACGUGAAAAAUUUAAUCCAAAUGAUUAAAGUUUAGCAAGAUCAAAGCAUCUCAAAAGAGGGUGUCAUUACAGGAAAUGUUAGGUAACAGAUGAAACUCUCAGCCCUGCUAGUAAUCAUCACGUUAAGAUGGAUCAACACCUUAACAAGAUCCUGUAUUAUUCUGUCUUUGAAAAGCUGGCAGCUUAUUUUGAAAACAAAAAGGCCUGUACAGCAAGUGUUGGAAUGAACCUUGCAGCGAUCCACAUAUUACUCAAACGUGACCGCGUGCUUUCUGCUUUGUUUCUCAGCAAACCCCUCUGAAAAGGUCGUGCGUGUAUUUUACUUCACUGCAUGUCUGUGACCUUUCUCACUGAUGUCGAGCUUGCACAGAGGAAAGCAAGCCACGGUCUUGACUUCUGUUUCUUUGUUACUUUCUGGUUUUGGUCUGUUAAACCCUGUGUCUCGCGUGUCUGUCUCAGCUACCAGUUGCCUUCUGACAGACACAGAAAUCACGAGGCUAAUCUUUAUUCCAGUUCGUGCAGCUGUCACUUGUGCCCUCUGAGGCAGCCAACCUGGGCCUUCCAGCAGAAGACAACUUUUGCUGCCCUACCUCAAGGAAGCAGCUAGAAGAAAAUGAUGGCAGAACACCUUACUCUAAAUCAACAGCAGCUGUAAUGUGGUGUAAGCUUAGAGGGUUUUGCUUUGCCCCAAGCACGAGAGGUCUUUAAGGACUGGAGGAAGAAAAGUUGCUCUUCAUCUGUCUGUCAGCAGCACCGGGAUAACUCAAGCACAGGUCAGAGCCCCGUGGUGCUGGAUGCUGUUGACAAGACAACCCCCAUGUUAGGAGAUAAGAGGAUGCUGUGUGGAGUUAGCAGAUGGUGGGAUCAGUUUGAGGAGUAGAUACAUUUACAGAGUUUUGCAGAAAAAAAUAAAAUCCUACUUUCCUAAGGAAAGAGUGACUUGUUGGCUUCAUGGCAGGAGUGCCUUUGACAGCAAGAUGUCUGCUUUAUACCUUUGGACAGAUUUCUUUCCACAGGAAGAGCACUCUUUCUGGAAUGUCAAAUGCACAUGCUUGGUUAUCAUGCGGUAGAUUGUUCCCAUGCUUUCUUGUCACGACGGUGCUGGGCUAAGAAAGCUGCAGAUCAAAAGCUUUGCAGAGCGGUACGGCUAAAUUGUUUCUUCUUUCAUCAUCCAUUUAAAAAAAAGUAAUGGAAGAUGAGAAGCUGCCCACUUCAGGUUUGUAUGCGAAUAAUUAUAGGACAAGGCAACAGCAAGGUGCUUUCUGAAAGAUGAGUAAAUGGUUGGGCCUCUUCAGGAAAUCUGUGGUAAGCAGGUCAUUCAAAAAUAACUUUCUGAGGCUAUGGGAAGUGGGUGAAAUGAAGUUAAAAAAGAGCUACUGAAGAGAGGAAAAUGCUGAUGAAAGAGAGUGUUUUAUCUGAUAUCAGAAACUGUUGGUUUUCAUUCUGAUCCUGUUGUUUUUUUUCUUUAGGUAGCUUUUAGAGUGCCCUUAAGUUAUCUCAAAAGGUUAUUAAUUUUCCACUGGCAUCAGAAAGGCUGAAAUGAUAUUUGCAAUGAAAGGCGGCCUGCAGUGGCUCUGUCAGUUGGACCAGAACAGCGCCACGGUAUGUGCCCCACAAGGGGCAUACAUGUGGAAAAGCUAAGCUGUCCAGAAUGAAUGCCAGCUCUGAAGAGCUCUGGACAAGGUCUGAAGUAGACUGAAGCAGUGAAUGCUAAUCCAGAACUGAGACCUGCCAUGAACAGGGGAUUGCUUCAGUCACUAUGGGAGGACUGCAGCAGCCACGUGGUGAUGCUGAGUGAACCUUCCUAGCAAUCAGAAAACUCACACUGGUUCGUGCUCCUGGGGAAGUAAUGUCAUCUCGGUAAUGUCUAAGACAUCGAAGCCUAUUCCUGGUGAAAGCUGGUGUGGAAAUCAGUAAUGAAGACCACAACAGGUAGUCAUGUGCGGAGCCAGAAGUUGGACUUGAUUACCCUUGUGGGUCCCUCCCAGGUCAGGAUAUUCUAUGAUUCUAUGAAUAACAGCUGCAAUAUAAGGCAUGCUGUCAUCUAUACAAAAUCUACUUCAUUCCAGUUUAUCUGGAAGCAAAAGCAUCAGUAAAAGGGCAGUGAUAGGGACUGAAAGCCAUAUGCUGAAAGCCAGGCUGUUUCCUAGGGUCCUUUUGAAGGUUUUAUUGCUGGUUGGAAAUAGAUCAUAAGGUCUAUAACACUUGUCAUCACUACUUUAUCCUUGUUUUGUGAUUUUCUUCAUGUGUAGAGAGAACCAUUUGCAAUUUAAAUUGGUGCUAGAUAUUGUCAAUAUAAAAAAAAUAAAAAUGGGCAUGCUACAUGGACGAAAGAGCUCUUAGAAGAUGGACAAAUCAGCACAGGGGACGAAAGGAUAAUACCAGCAAAGUAUGUGUAUGUACACACACCCCUAUAGACAGUUAUAUCUCAACUGUACAGAAGUGUUCCCUGCCUCACCAUUGGUUACUAACUUGCUGUUUUCUUUCCAGAAAGAAAAUCCUUGACAGAAUUUAAGCGAUGAGUAAUGACUCCAUUUUCUUCCCUCCUAGCUACCAGGCAGGCACAUACAUGGGUCCCCCAUUGGCCCACAAAAUGUGAACAUUUUAACCUUUUCUUGUUGUCCUGCGCCUGCCCUGUCACUUGGUGCUUUUGCAGCGUUUUCCCCCUUUAGCCAGGUCUACUUCUCUCAGUAAGCAGGGCAACUGUAUUUACAAGAAGCAAGAAAACACUUCACUGAUAACAGCAGCAUGUGUCUGGGGAAAAUGUCAGCGCUUCAACCAGAGUCUUGCUAUUCCCUCGGCGUUGUCAUUGCUGGAUCCUCUGCCCUUCCUUACAAGUGGGUUUGAGGAGGUGGUUGUUUUGGCUGGAAUUAGAGAGGCACAGGUGGUAUCACCAGCUGUAAAUUGGAGGAGGCACUUCCUGAUUAUGACCACUGCCUACAUGUAAAUCACUGCCAAGAGAGGAGCUGGGAAGCAUAGAAGCCUUCUCCUUACUUGGAAAGAGGGCCUGGAGUGUAAUCAGAACUCCCCUCUUCUGCAGCUUUUUCACCUGUGGGCUUCAGGGUUCUUUGUGAGCGCUUGGCUUCCCAAAUGCUGUGACAUGGAAAAUCCUUAUCCGUGUUUGACAGAAGGAUAGACUGAGGCAUUGAGCAUUUAAGCUCAUGCACUUACCAUUUGGGUACUCAAGUCCCUAUAAAGCACUAGGAGCUCAGGAGACACAAGUACAGGGUGCACUGGGGAGUCAGGACGUAGAUUCAGGUGUCUGCUCAACCACGCCGAAACAUCCCCUACGAGUGGUGAAUAACCCCUGGAUCUCUGUCAGGUCAAGAUUUUGCCCUCUGGCUUUCCAUGUUUGUGGCGAGAGGCUUGUCCAAAGCUGCAGUGAGCGCUAACCUGGGGUCUCUGGCAAGGAGUUUGGGUGCUGGUUUUGGAGGGCACUGCUGCACAGGUUGGCAGAGUGCUGCUCUCAGGUGCCAGCACACCCAGCCAGGUGUACUUAUGUGCUUUCAUUGCCAGGUUGAGUAUUUUUUUAUUUUUUUUUUUAAUUACUGUCUGGUGCUCACUUCUCUACCUAAUCACCUGUACAUAAUGAAGGCCUCUGCUGCUGGCCCUGACUUGCUUUGUCUGCAGGAAAUUUGGGGUGCCAUGUCUCCUCAUCUGCCUCCUGCUGAAAACUGAUUCUUUGGGGUGAUCGCUCAGCCCGUUGUGGGCUCAUGGUCUUGGUUUUGGGGUACUUUUUCCCUUUUAACCCAUUGUGUCCUAAAUGUGGGUCCACUGCAUGUACAGAUGGAGAACAGCAAAUGAGGGAGAGGUGUUGCAGAACCAACCCACCAAUGUGUGCCGCUCACCCACACACAUGGGGAGAGGGAAAGAUUAAAAGAUUAAAGUUACAAACUAAAAACCGCCCCAGGCUACCGCUGAGAUCUGAGUGACUGCCUGCGAAGCCAAACUCCCACUCUGGAGGUGCCGCGCCACGCUCGCUGUCACUCACUCCACACUUGCUUUCUCCUGCCAUCCCUUCCUGCCGCUGGCUUCGCUAUUUUUACAGACCCCAAAAUUAAAUAAUAAUUUAGUUUGGCUACAAAGAAGGGUCCUGAGCAACUCCUGGGCAUCGCCUGGGGGCUCAUGGGGGUAGUUUUCCACCCCUCAUUGCACUCCUGGACUUCUGGACCCUGGAGACUCCUCUGGCAGCCUUCUCCUGUGCCUCAUUUGCCCACAUCGCAACCAGUUUCGGUUCAGUUGCGGCCCAGGACUGGCGUGGGAGGGACGGCAAUUUGCAGCCGUUAGAAUUUCGGUAACAGUGUGGGGAAGUUUGUAAGGUCUUUAAUGCUUUCCCUUCCCUCCAGAGAGAUGUCAUGCAAGCCUUAUCCUAUCAAGCUUACAAUGAAGUAUGCCUACAAUUUUAUAUUCCUUCCUGCCAUUUGUUAGUGUUUUCUCACAUUUUUUUCCAUAUCUUCACUAGGAAUGGAUGAAGCAUGGCCAUUUUGGUUUUAUGGCUGAACGGCACAGAAGUAAAACUGAGGCCUGGGCUCUCCAAAACAGAUAUUAGUGUUGCACCUGUGUUGACAGCACAUCAAAGAGUCAGACUGUGCUGGCGAGGUCUGUGCUCUGAGCAGGGAAGGAUCCGUUCCUGCAGAGAUGCUCCCUGCUCUCAGCUCCACAAAGAGCCCUCUGUGGCAGGAACACUUAAGGAGCCAUGUCUAAGGAGACUCCUUCAGGAGUGGCAGAAUAUGCCUGCCUGGGGACCUGCGCAUACUGUGAAUAAACCCAUUUCUCAC